AGUGAACGCUGGCGGCGUGCCUAAUACAUGCAAGUCGAACGAAGUGGCGCACGGGUGAGUAAUAUAUAGUUAAUCUGCCCUACACAGAGGAACAACAGUUGGAAACGGCUGCUAAUACCUCAUAGUGUAGGAUGAGACUAUAUCGUAUCAGCUAGUGGGUAAGGUAAUGGCUUACCAAGGCUAUGACGCGUAACUGGUCGGAGAGGAUGAUCAGUAAAAUGGGAACUGAGACACGGUGCAAACACCUACGGGAGGGAGCAGUAAGGAAUAUGGCGAAAUGGGGGAAACCCAGAAGCAGCAACGCCGCGGGGAGGAUGACACUUUUCGGAGCGUAAACUCCUUGUAUCAGGAAAGCGGUACCUGAUGAAUAAGCACCGGCUAACUCCGUGCCAGCAGCCGCGGUAAUAC
rnacentral:rRNA from 1 species